GGCCAGGAGCAACAGAGGCACAACUCACACUUCCUACAAUGUCAUUCAAACCAGCAUGUCAGCUCUUUGAUAUUCAUUACGGAUUUAUAGACAGAGCUUCGUCAAUGCUCUGGUCCCAAACAAUUUGGCCACUGUCCAUCAUCCAACUUGUCCAUCAUCCAAAUGGGCUCAUUAUCCUGCUCUGAAAUACAAAAGGUUGGGAAAAAGGUUAAACAAUUCUUCAAUAUGAGUUGAAGGGUUAUGAACUCUCAUCAUUCUGUGUCUGCACCCGUACUGCCAUGCGAAGUGCCAAUAAGCCAAGCCUUUCAACAAUACUAUCAAACGAGCAAAGUAGUCAUUAGUCAUGCACUAGAAUUAUGUGUAAAUCAGUGUCCUUCACUUUUGACAAUAAAGAAAUUAUUAACAAACAAACAAACAAAUGAUCAGAGAACUAUGCUUAGCAUCGUUGAGUUCGCUUCCUAACAUUUGAGAAAGUGACAUCCUUUUAUCAGCUAGUCACAAGGUCAAAGUGACAGUAGUGAGACCAGCACACGGAAAGCUGAAACUAGUGCAUAAUACGGCUAUAAAACUGUGUUUUCAACAAACUGCAGCUCCUUCAUAGAGAAGUGGGUGCAUGUAAUAGCAUUACUGUAGUGAUCACAUUACUAUGCUGAAUACACCUGAUAAAAAUAACAAUUAUUUCAGUAACUUUGAUGGGGUCAUCAGUCUGUAUCAUCAGUUAUGCUAGGUCUAGCUUGUAUUAUUAUUAUCAUGCCUAACAACAUACUACAACAAGCAAUUUGUUUUCUGGGGGUAAAACGUUUUCUAUCACAAAAACUAUAGUAUAGUAUAGUAUAGUAUAGUAUAGUAUAGUACAGUACAGUACACUAUGAUAGUAAAGGCCCCUAAAAGCUCCUCUCUGCCUCCGAACCUGCCUGAAUUAUCCUAACUUCUGACUCUUUCUCGCGUUUCUGACCUUCUGCCGCUGUGGAUGGUUUCACAGAGACCCCCUAAAAGAUUGCAUUUCUCAACAGUUAAUGCCCAAGUCUCACCAUUGCUUUAGUAGAUAGUAGAUCUUACCUGACUUUCUGAGAACUGCUGCUGUUGUAAUGAUAAAGACUGUACUCUGCUCAUCUCAGGACUCUUAUUCACAACAAACACACACUGAAUAUCGUUUCACCACACCUAUUUCUCUAUGACUUUACAGUAUACGGUUAUAGAAGAUAUAUUUAUAAUCCCACAAUUUGGUGUCACCCAGAAGAGGAUGGCUUUUCUUUUGUGCCUGGUGUCAUCUCAGGGAGUUUUUCCUCGCCAUCACUCUUGGCUUGCUCAUUAGGGAUCUAAAUACAAAUUUCUCUAAAUAUGGAUUUCUGUCAAGCUGUAUUGUGACCAUUUCUCUUGUUAAAAGCAAAUAAAAUUGAAUUGAAAUUAACUGAAAUCAUUUUACCAAGCAUAUAAGAAGUAUUAUAGCUAGGUUUUGCUACCAGGAAGUUUAACUUUAACAUAUCUUUACAUAUAACAUAUAUUUGAAAGCGUUGUUUUAUUUCACAUACAGCUGUGGUUUAAAUUAUUAGUUGGCUAAUAUUGUUUACAUUUAUACAGAUAGCUUCUGGUUCCUUUUAUUUUGCUUUAGUUUUCCUUUUUUUUUCCUGCAUGUUUUAUUUUGAAACGCCGCGACGCGCUUUGAUGAUGUCAUCAACGUUAGCCCGUGUUCUGUAUUCAGCUCGCGGGAAAUUCUGCUGAUAGGAUGAUUAUUAAAUGUCACUGGUGUGGAUGAUUUAACCGUUUCCAACUGGACUAGACCUUCAUAUGGUGAUGGGACUUGAUUUCCUUUCAGAUUCUGCGCUUACAGGAUGGUAAUCAGAAACUACAUCGUGCUAUAGACUUUACUGAUCGAUUUGUAACCUUCCAUAAUAUUUGGGCAUCCAUACAAACAUGACACAUUAAAGGACAAACCUGAACAAAUGAACAGAGAAGCCAAAUGCAGAUGCUUCCAGACCAGUGUGCUGCAUGAUGGUUAUGCAGUUAUCAUCCUACCAUGCUUUGUCAUGUAUAAAAAUGCUGAGCAGACCUCACAUGACCUCAAUUUUGCAUCAAAAUGGUAAGAGGAAAAGAUCUAAGUGACUUUGAAAGAGGGUUUAUUAUUGGGGCACGGACGGCAGGAGCUUCAGUCACAAAGAUUGCACAGCUGGCUUGUGUGUCGAUAGGAACGGUUACUAAAGUGACCUCUGCAUUUAGGUCUAUGGGAAAGACGUCAGUAAACAGAGCUGGAAAUUGUGGGCGAAAGCGCAGAUUCAGUGACCGUGAUGCUCGUGCAUUAGUGCGAUAUGUCGAGAAAAACAAAACAGCAACGGUUAUUCAGGUGACGGAGAAUAUCAAUGCAAAGCGUGAUCAGACUGUGUCCACAAGAACAGUCCGUCGACAGCUCCAGAGAGAGGGAUACAGUAGGGUUCCCGUGUAUAAACCCCUCAAUACGAACACGAAAAAAACAGGUCUACAGUGAUGUGGGGGAAAAAAAAGGGAUCCGGUCUGAUGAGUCAUCCUUCAUCAUAUUCUCGACAAGUUGCAGUGAGUGCAUGUGUGGCGUACAGAGAAUGGUACAGCCCUGAAUGCUUGACCCCUAGAGGAAAGGUGUCUCCGUUAUGGUUUGGGGGGCAUUUAUUUAUUUUGCUGGCAUGGUUUGGGUCCUCAAAGAGUGAAGCAUCCCUGCAAAUGCAUACAAAAUUCUCCUGACUGAUCACUUUUAUCCUAUGAUGCACCCUUUCUUUCCUGAUGGGAGUGGUCUCUUCCAGGAUGACUCCGCCCCCCAUUCAUUCACAGAGCACGAGGGCUCACUGUAUUGUUUGUUGAGGAUGAAAAUGAUGUAACUCAUAUGCUAUGGCCUUCACACUCACCAGAUCUCAACCCAUUUGAACACUUAGGAGAGGUUUUGGACCAGUAUCUUACACAACACUGUCCACCACCAUCAUCAAAACACCAGCUGAUGGAAUAUCAUUUGGAAGAACUGUGUUCACUGAACUCAAGUGCAGUUCCAGAGACUUGUAGAAUCAGUGCUAAGGUGCACUGAAGCUGUUUCUGGCAGCUCCUAGUGGAACGUAACACCAUGCUAAGACUCUACUAUAUCAUUAUGGUAGUUGGUAUGGUGCUUCACUGUCAUGAACAUGUCAUCCACCACAACUACAAGCCUCUCUAAAAGAUCUCUGUGAAGACUGAAUGACUGCUAGGCAGCAAAACUAAAAGGACAUCAUGAACCUCAAUUCCUUUAACGUUUCCUAAAUGUGAUUAACUCGGGAUGUCUUAAAACAACCUCUUACUGCAGGACUCCAGAACUAGUUGAAACCAGUCAACUCUCCAGAGACCAGCUACACAAGUACAUAACCUUCACAUCAAGACACACAGGAUAUGUGUCAGCAAUCACACAGGGAAACUAUUUGUUCUGUACAGCAUCAAACAUGUCAGUAUAACUACUUGAAACCAGGUUAUUAAUAUCAGUGUUUCCCACAGGUCUGAAAUAUACUUGUGGUGGUAGCCGGUGGAAAAGACUGGCAUUACCUGCUGGCACAAAAUUGGUCUACUACAUGUGACAAACAAGAAAUAACAUGUGACACAAUAUCUCGAUUUAUUAAAUAUUUCUAUUAAUUUCAAAUAAUAUAUUUCACAGCUCCAACCCUCCCCACCUCCUCUCCAUCUACCCACAUGGGAAGAGUAAGGCAAAGUUUUUAUUUAAAAAAAAAACGAAAAACACUCUAUAAAAAUAAAAAAUGCAAAAAUGGAUCGCCAAAUAUACUUGGGCGGCAGUUGAUAUACCUGGGCGGCUCAUGCAAGUAAAGUCUAUAGAAUAUAUUUCUAUGCUUUUAUAACCAUGUAAUUCUGUAAGUUGCAUUAAAGAUUUAGAUGAAGAUGAAACGUGAUUGGCAAUUUUAAACCUUUGUUGUAUACAUUGAUAUAUGAUUUAAUUUUCAAUUCCUUAUAGACGUACAGGAAAGUAAAUGUAUUUAGCUGUUACACUUAAAUACUUACAGGCUCAGUUUUCUAUUUUUUUCUUGUACAUCCCUUUGAGAUUUUAAUAUGAUCUUUAAAUUAUUUAAUAGGUUUGUUGUAAUUGUGUUAUGAAAAAUAAAAGUUUAUUCUUGCCCACAAAAAA